rnacentral:sRNA from 1 species
CAGGGUUGGGGCGAGUGGACCGCGCCUCUAAAGGCGCUUGCCAGUGCAAUCUGGGCGAUCGCUUCCUGGUCCUCGCCUCCUCCGCUGUCUCCCUGGAGUUCUUGCAAGUCGGCCAGGAUGUCUCAGGCUGAGUUUGAGAAAGCUGCAGAGGAGGUUAGGCACCUUAAGACCAAGCCAUCGGAUGAGGAGAUGCUGUUCAUCUAUGGCCACUACAAACAAGCAACUGUGGGCGACAUAAAUACAGGUAUGCAGAGCGGGGGUUGGAAGGGCCUCUGCUCAUCAAAGCAGGCUCAGCAGCCCAGACUGGAAGUCCCUGGGAACUUCACUCUCAAACUGCCUGAGGCCCUACUCUUCAGGUGGGGUAUGGUGAUGGUUCCUGGGGUGGAAAAGACCAUGUUCCGGAUUCUCAGUGUCUCCAGUAGUAGCAGAAUUCAAAUCCUGGUUUUAGAAGGUCUUUACUGGUUAUCACCAGCAGCUACUCUCUACUAGGGAAGAAGCAAAGGCUGCAGCUUGGAAAAGACUUGCUGAAGGCUCUCAGCUCAGUAGUAUCAUUGUUGAGCCGUUCAGCUUCUGCCCUAGAUGGGCAGGAUCAAAGUUGGAGCACUUUUUGGAGCACUUGACAGCCUGGCCAAGCCUGAUGUCAGGAGCAGAGAAGCACCUGGUUUCUUGGGCUAGGUCAGAGCAUUUCGCUAACAAGUCUGUGCCUUCCUGAUGACAACUUUUUCCCUGCCCAGAAAUCUUGGUGCAGAUUUUGAGGCUGUGCUUUUGACUGUCAUACUCUGUA